ACUCGCAGGGCUCUCACUGCUCGCGGUGCGGCAGCCGCGCGCGGACUCCGCUGCGCCUCCGAGGGGGCCAGGCACGCGGUCAAGAUCUGUGGCCACUGGUUCCCAUGGUUUCGAGGCACCAUGAGGCUCGCUGGCUCCUGGAAACUUUGGCUUUGGGCAGCACUUCUCCUGCUUCCUGCUUCCACUUCCGUGACGGUUAGGGACAAGCCAGAAAAGCAGUGUCCUGUACUGAGAACAGAGGAGCAUCAGUUUACACAAGACAAUGGAGAUAAACUUGAAGUUUCAGGUUUUGACCUAGGAGAGAGCUUUUCUAUGAGACGUGUGUUUUGUGAAGGUGAUAAAACCUGUUUCAAAUUGGGAAGUUCACUUCUUAUUAGAGACACCAUUAAGGUAUUUCCCAAAGGCCUUCCUGAGCAUUUCGCGAUGGUGGCCAUGUUUCGGGUACGAAGAAGCACCAAAAAGGAACGGUGGUUUCUGUGGCAGGUUUUAAACCAGCAGAAUAUGCCACAGGUGUCUAUAGUAAUUGAUGGUGGAAAGAAGGUGGUGGAGUUUAUGUUCCGAGCUGCCGAGGGAGAUGUGUUGAACUUCAUUUUUAAAAAUCGAGAACUCCGUUCUUUGUUUGAUCGUCAGUGGCAUAAACUUGGCAUUGGCAUACAAUCCCAGGGCAUUUCACUCUAUAUGGACUGUAACUUAGUUGCAAGCCAGAAUACUGAUGGAAAAGGUGCUUUGGACUUUCGUGGAAGGACAAUUAUUAUGGCUCGAGCUUCAGAUGGCAAGCCUGUGGAUGUUGAACUUCACCAACUUAAAAUCUACUGUGACUUGAACUUCAUAGCUCAAGAAACUUGUUGUGAGAUGUCAGACACUAAGUGCCCAGAGCAGGUUGGCUUUGGAAGUACUGCAUCUUUAUCAGUACCUGCGUAUGCCAGUCGAAUGUCUGCAUUUCUGCCAGCAAAGCAGGAACUAACAGACCAGUGCCAGUGUAUUCCAGAGAAGGGAGAAGCAGGAUUACAGGGAGCUCCAGGCUCACCGGGCCAGAAAGGAGACAAAGGACAGCAGGGUGAAGUUGGUCUUAAAGGUGAAUCAGGCGCUCCUGGAAUUCCUGGUGAAAAGGGUGAAAAUGGUUUACAUGGAGUUCCAGGAUUACCCGGUCAAAAGGGAGAGCAAGGUUUUGAAGGCCUUAAAGGAGAAAUUGGUGAAAAGGGUGAACAAGGAGAAAAAGGAGAUCCAGGUUUGGCUGGCGUUAAUGGCCAAGAUGGUUCGAAAGGCGAUGUGGGUCCUCGUGGUCCACCUGGCCCAAAAGGAGAAAAGGGAGAUAUGGGACCUCCAGGACCACCAGCCUUAACUGGUUCCCUGGGGAUACAAGGCCCCCAAGGUCCACCUGGAAAAGAAGGUCAGAGGGUAACAAGCAGGUGGGCCUAAGGAGAAUAUCAAAUAUCUGAAAGCCAAAAUUUGAGAUUUGAGAUUUUGACCAAACUUCAACAAUCCAGAAAAUUCUAUUUAUUUUCCAGAUUGGUAGCACAAAUGUGGAGAUACAGUUUGGGUGAAAUGAAUUAACCAUAAUUUGAUCUUGAGGAAAUUGGUCAUAUUUUGGCAGUUUUGUGUUAAGCUCAUCUUUGCAGAGUUAAGUUUGAUGAAUAUCUUUGUGGAGUUUUGGUCUGUUCAUGAAUUCUGCAAAGAUUGUGUAUAUUAAGUACAUUCUGCAGCCAAAUUAAAUUAUUGACAUUAGUGACUCUUUGUAGUCACUUUUACUGCCUUUGAGAUAAAAAGUGUAGUAGGUGAAUAUGUUGUACUUGCCAUGGGAAUAAGCAAUCACCUUCUAAUGCAAUUAGGUUUACUGGCUCCCAGUAAAAGGACCUCCUGCGGUGACAGUUGCUCAGCUCUUCAUGAAUACUAUCUGCAAUGGGGCAUCCCAAUUCUUGUGGCUAAUUGUUAUUAAUGAUUUUCAAAUCAUGUUAAAGUCUACAAACAUUUUGUGUGUGCUUUCUCAUGAGUAGUAGUAUCAACUUUUUUUUUUCCUUGCUGUUGAGAACUGUACGACUCACAGAGUAGAUGUCUUGCCCAAAGUCAUAGAAAUAAUAAGAAGUCAAGCCAGGACUUGAAUUUGGGGCUUCUGACUCUUAUUGUCACAGGAUAUUAGCCACAACUCUCUUUUUUACUCAUUUUAAUUUAUUAUUCCCAGUUCUGCCCUCUGGCAAAUAAGUCCAUUGCCUCAAAUAGAGUCCUUCAAAUAUUUGAGGACUAAUGGUGUAUUUUACCAAGAGCUCCCUUUUAUCAGGUUAAUCAAAUCCCCAUUCUCUUAGUUCUUUAUGUUGUCUGGAUUCCUAACUGCCUAACAUGCUGAUAGUCUUUCCCAGAAAACACUCAUGUACUCUCAUUUUGGAGGUGUCGUAAAUGAGAUUGAACAUGUAUGCGGCAUUUAGGGCAGAGCUAAAUGUGGCAUGUAUGUUGUGUGCCAUAGACCACAGCCAUCUAUUAAAGCCUAAGACUGAACCAAUGCUUCUGUGAAUGGCAUCACACUUUGUUUUUAUCUAAUGCUUUCCCCUAGGACAGCUCUGUUUUUAUUUAUUUAAUUUUUUUUUUUUUGGUGUUACAAUUAAGAAUUGAUUUGGGGGAAAUAGACCAGAUGAUAUCUAAGUUUGCUUAGUUAAAAAAUGUCCAGUUUUUAUUCCUCAAGUCUAUUUCAGUGAACACAAAAGGGCUUAAUAAGUUUUGAUGGCCAGGAAAAGUGUUGUGAAUAAUGAUAACAUUUAUGGGCUGCCUAUAGUGUGCUAAAUGAUGCAAAUUUAUUAUUUCAUUUAUUUCUCACAACAGCUCUGUGUAAUAGGUUCUACUAUAGUCCUCAUAGAGAAACUGAGGUUGUUCUUCAACCUACUCAGAACACAGUGCUAGUAAGUGGACUAUGCUGAUAUUUUAAGAUUAUCUAAAAAGAAGUCAAAAUUGGGUUCUACUCUCAACACCUAUAUGUUCAACUGUAGUUUACCUUUAGCUCUCUAGCCCCUCUCUAUCCAAGAGUUCAUUAAUUGACCUGAUCAAAGAUUUAUUUACUUCUGUGUGUGUGUCUUUUUAGGGCUGCACCUGCAGCAUAUGGAAGUUCCUGGGCUAGCGGUCGAAUCAGAGCUGCAGCUGCCGGCCUACACCACAGCCACAGCAGUGCUGGAUCUGAGACAUGUCUGUGACCUACACUGCAGCUCAUUCAUGGUAAUGCUGGAUCCUUAACCCACUUAGCAAGGAAGGGAUUGAACCUGCAUCCUCAUGGAUAGUAGCUGGGUUUCUUAUUGCUGAGCUACAAUGGGAACUCCCUGAUCAAAAUUUUGAAUAGUUGGGGAAAAAAUAGAAGAUUGCAUCCCUAGAUCUGUGCUUUUGAGGAUGCCUUAAGCAUUAAGCCCAUUGUUGGUAGAGGACGUGACAAAAUGAUCUUCUGAAGUUACUCCCAGAGCUUCUUAUUCUGUUUUAUCACAGUAAUGGCCAAGAUAUCUGUUGCAUCUAGGACCAGGUUUCUGAAUUAAUUUCUGUCUUCAGCAUCCAGGGAACUUUUUCCUUCUAGUAACUACCCUUUCCUGGAAACUGAGGGAUAAAUUAUACUCCCUGGUUAAUAUCCAGAAUAUAUAAGGAACUCAUGCAACUCAAUAGCAAAAACCCAAUAACCCAAUUGUAAAAUAUCCAAAUGACUUGCAUAGACAGUUGUUUUUUUUAAAAAAAGACAUACAAUGGCCAACAGGUAUAUUAAAAGUUGCUUAAUGUGGCUAAUUAUCAAGGAAAUGCAAAUCAAAAUCACGAAGUAUCUCCUCAUACUGGUCAAAAAAGGUUAUCAUUAAAAAGUCUACAAAUAACAAAUGCUAGAGAAGAUAUGGAGAAAAAGGAACCCUCCUACACUGUCAGUGGGAAUGUAAAUUGAUGCAGCCACUGUGGAAAAGAGUAUGGAGGUUCCUCCAAAAAAGUAGAAAUAAAACUACCUCAUGAUCCAGAAAGCUCACUUCUGGGUAACUUCUGGGUAUAUAUCUAAAGGAGUGAAAUCAGUAUUUGAUGAGAUAUGCAUACUCCCAUGAUAGAGAAACAACCUAAAUGUCUAUCGACUGAUGAAUGGAUAAAGAAAAUGUGAUCACACACACAAAAUGGAACAGUAUUCAGCCUUAGUUCCCAUCGUGGCUCAGAGGAAAGGAACCCAUCUAGUAUCCAUGAUGGGUUUGAUCCCUGGCCUCACUCAGUGGGUUAAGGAUCCAGCAUUGCCACGAGCUGUGGUGUAGGUCUCAGACAUGGCUCAGAUCCCAAAUUGCUGUACUUAUAGUGUAGGCUGGCAGCUACAGCUCCGAUUCAACCCCUAGCCUGGGAAUUUCCAUAUGCCAUGGGUGAAGCCCUAAAAAAAAGUUCUGGGGACCUAAUGUACAAUAGUGAGGCUAUAGUUAAUAUUGUGUUGUAUACUUGAAAUUUGCUAAAAGGGUAGAGCUUAACUGUUUUCACUAAAAAAAAAAAAAAAAGAUAACUAGUCAUGAGGUGAUGGAUAGGUGAAUUAGCUUGAUUGUGGUGACUAUUUCACAAUUCAUAAGUAUAUCAGAUCAAGUUGUAUACCUGAAAUAUGUAUAAUUUUAAUUGUCAACAAUAACAAUAAAGUAGAAUAAUAAUAAAAGGAUUUUUAAUUUCAACUCCAAAACCCCCUUUAUAUUCCCCAGGUAGUUUGAGAUGGAAAUUUAUGGACCCAGGUGGAUAAAGCUAGACAGUGUAUCUGAAUUCCUUCCCCUGUGGCAGAGCUUUUUUUAAAAAAUUCACGUGAUAAGAACACCAAGGGGAAUGGGGGAAGAGGGAUAAAUUAGGAGUUUAGGAAUAACAUAUACCCACUGCUGUAUAUAAAAUGGAUAACACCAAGGACCUACUGUAUAUAUAGCACAGGGGACUCUACUCAGUAGUCUCUAAUAACCUAUAUGGAAAAGCAUCUGAAAAAGAGUUAUGUAUGUAUGUAUGUGUGUGUGUGUGUGUGUAUGUAUGUAUAACUGAAUCAUUUUGCUGUACAUCUGAAACUAAUACAGUAUUGUAAAUCAACUCUACUU
rnacentral:lncRNA from 1 species